rnacentral:rRNA from 1 species
AUUGAACGCUGGCGGCAGGCCUAACACAUGCAAGUCGAGCGGAUGAAGAGAGCUUGCUCUCUGAUUUAGCGGCGGACGGGUGAGUAAUGCCUAGGAAUCUGCCUGGUAGUGGGGGAUAACGUUCCGAAAGGAACGCUAAUACCGCAUACGUCCUACGGGAGAAAGCAGGGGACCUUCGGGCCUUGCGCUAUCAGAUGAGCCUAGGUCGGAUUAGCUAGUUGGUGAGGUAAUGGCUCACUAAGGCGACGAUCCGUAACUGGUCUGAGAGGAUGAUCAGUCACACUGGAACUGAGACACGGUCCAGACUCCUACGGGAGGCAGCAGUGGGGAAUAUUGGACAAUGGGCGAAAGCCUGAUCCAGCCAUGCCGCGUGUGUGAAGAAGGUCUUCGGAUUGUAAAGCACUUUAAGUUGGGAGGAAGGGCAGUAAGUUAAUACCUUGCUGUUUUGACGUUACCGACAGAAUAAGCACCGGCUAACUUCGUGCCAGCAGCCGCCGUAAUAC